CCUACGGGAGGCAGCAGUAGGGAAUCUUGUGCAAUGGGCGAAAGCCUGACACAGCAACUCCGCGUGCGGGAAGAAGGCCUUAGGGUUGUAAACCGCUUUUGGCAGGAACGAAAAUGACGGUACCUGCAGAAUAAGGUGCGGCCAACUACGUGCCAGCAGCCGCGGUGACACGUAGGCACCAAGCGUUGUCCGGAUUUAUUGGGCGUAAAGAGCUCGUAGGCGGUUCAGUUAGUCGGGUGUGAAAACUCUGGGCUUAACCCGGAGACGCCACUCGAUACUGCUGGGCUAGAAUUCGGUAGGGGAGUGGGGAAUUCCUGGUGUAGCGGUGAAAUGCGCAGAUAUCAGGAGGAACACCGGUGGCGAAGGCGCCACUCUGGGCCGACAUUGACGCUGAGGAGCGAAAGCGUGGGUAGCAAACAGGAUUAGAUACCCUGGUAGUCCACGCCGUAAACGGUGGGCACUAGGUGUGGGUUCCAACCAACGGAAUCCGUGCCGUCGCAAACGCAUUAAGUGCCCGCCUCGGGGAGUACGGCCGCAAGGUUAAAACUUAAAGGAAUUGACGG
rnacentral:rRNA from 1 species